rnacentral:rRNA from 1 species
UCGAGCGAGACCAGUCCUUCGGGACUGGGGAAAGCGGCGAACGGGUGAGUAACACGUGGGUAAUCUGCCCUCGGCACUGGGAUAGCCCGGGGAAACCCGGAUUAAUACCGGAUAGCCUUUCGAGCCUUCGGGCUCGUCAGAAAAGGUGGCUUCGGCUUCCGGCUGAGGAUGAGCCCGCGGCGGAUUAGCUUGUUGGUGAGGUAAUGGCUCACCAAGGCUCCGAUCUGUAGCUGGUCUGAGAGGACGAUCAGCCACACUGGGACUGAGACACGGCCCAGACUCCUACGGGAGGCAGCAGUAGGGAAUCUUGCGCAAUGGGCGAAAGCCUGACGCAGCGACGCCGCGUGCGGGAAGAAGGCCUUCGGGUUGUAAACCGCUUUCAGGAGGGACGAAGCCACUCGGGUUAAUAGCCCAGAGGGUGACGGUACCUCCAGAAGAAGCCCCGGCUAACUACGUGCCAGCAGCCGCGGUAAUACGUAGGGGGCAAGCGUUG